rnacentral:rRNA from 1 species
GACAAGAAAUAACAAUACAGGGCUUUCGUCUUGUAAUUGGAAUGAUGGCGACGUAAAAGCUCGCCAGAGUACCAAUUGGAGGGCAAGUCUGGUGCCAGCAGCCGCGGUAAUUCCAGCUCCAAUAGCGUAUAUUAAACUUGUUGCAGUUAAAAAGCUCGUAGUUGUAUUUCAGCCCUUCGGCUUUUCCCUAUUUCGGGUUUCGCCGUGGGCCUAUUUUUACUUUGAGAAAAUUAGAGUGUUUCAAGCAGACUUUUGUCUUGAAUACUUCAGCAUGGAAUAAUAGAGUAGGACCUUGGUUCUAUUUUGUUGGUUUAGUGCCUUGGUAAUGGUUAAUAGGAACGGUUGGGGGCAUUCGUAUUUAACUGUCAGAGGUGAAAUUCUUAG